GACAGCAGUGCUCCGCAGGAUCCAUGUACACCACCGUCACGUCCAAGAUCCCACUGGGACCUGUCACUGUGGAGUGAUAAAAGGAAAAGAGCAGGAAUCUAAACUCCAGUCUAGGAAGUUAUCGAGAAGACUUUCCUCCUGGGUGGAGAGCUCCGCUGUGGGCGUAGUCACAAAGCUGCCUCUGUCAUCCUGAAUGCUGUCUUCCCUCCUCCUGUAGUAAGAAAAUCCAGAAGUCACACAUUAAAAGCCAAGUCUUCUUUUCUGGCUCCUUUAAUAGGAACAAAAGGCAUGACGGUAUUUUGGCUGUCCAGCCAACUGGGUGCCAGAUCAAAAUACUUCAGAAGCUACAGAGCAGAAUCAAC